rnacentral:rRNA from 1 species
UACGGAGGGUGCAAGCGUUAUCCGGAUUCACUGGGUUUAAAGGGUGCGUAGGUGGGUUGGUAAGUCAGUGGUGAAAUCUCCAGGCUUAACUUGGAAACUGCCAUUGAUACUAUCACUCUUGAAUACCGUGGAGGUCAGCGGAAUAUGUCAUGUAGCGGUGAAAUGCUUAGAUAUGACAUAGAACACCAAUUGCGAAGGCAGCUGGCUACACGAAUAUUGACACUGAUGCACGAAAGCGUGGGGGAUCAAACAGGA